rnacentral:rRNA from 1 species
GAUGAACGCUGACAGAAUGCUUAACACAUGCAAGUCAACUUGAACUUCGGCUUGGGUGGCGGACGGGUGAGUAACGCGUAAAGAACUUGCCUCACAGAUAGGGACAACAUUUGGAAACGAAUGCUAAUACCUGAUAUUAUGAUUAUAUGGCAUCGUAUAAUUAUGAAAGCUAUAUGCGCUGUGAGAGAGCUUUGCGUCCCAUUAGCUAGUUGGAGAGGUAACGGCUCACCAAGGCGAUGAUGGGUAGCCGGCCUGAGAGGGUGAUCGGCCACAAGGGGACUGAGACACGGCCCUUACUCCUACGGGAGGCAGCAGUGGGGAAUAUUGGACAAUGGACCAAGAGUCUGAUCCAGCAAUUCUGUGUGCACGAUGAAGUUUUUCGGAAUGUAAAGUGCUUUCAGUUGGGAAGAAAAAAAUGACGGUACCAACAGAAGAAGUGACGGCUAAAUACGUG